rnacentral:misc_RNA from 1 species
AAAGUCGUAACAAGGUUUCCGUAGGUGAACCUGCGGAAGGAUCAUUAUCACGUAUCCACGUAUAAACCAUCGUGAACUGUACCCGUACCUUCGUUGGUGAAGCUACAGACGCAAAUGAAGAGUUUUCUCUUCAUGUCUGGUUAUGCUGCGCUACGGAGUGUACCACUAUUAACCAUUAUAACCCAAUCUUUAUAACUUUUGAACUAACUUAUUUUAUACUCUUCGGAGAUAAAAUUCAUUACGAAACAAAGAACAACUCUUAGCAACGGAUAUCUUGGUUCUC